AUUGAACGCUGGCGGCAGGCCUAACACAUGCAAGUCGAGCGAGCGGCGGACGGGUGAGUAAUGUAUGGGGACCUGCCCGAUAGAGGGGGAUAACUACUGGAAACGGUGGCUAAUACCGCAUACUAUCGGAUGAACCCAUAUGGGAUUAGCUAGUAGGUGGGGUAAAGGCUCACCUAGGCGACGAUCUCGAGCUGGUCUGAGAGGAUGAUCAGCCACACUGGAACUGAGACACGGUCCAGACUCCUACGGGAGGCAGCAGUGGGGAAUAUUGCACAAUGGGCGCAAGCCUGAUGCAGCCAUGCCGCGUGUAUGAAGAAGGCCUUCGGGUUGUAAAGUACUUUCAGCGAGGAGGCGUUACCCGCAGAAGAAGCACCGGCUAACUCCGUGCCAGCAGCCGCGGUAAUAC
rnacentral:rRNA from 1 species